AGUCCCUUCUCUGUUACGCCUGCUGCUUUCUCGCAAGAUAUCUUCAUACUUUCUCUAAUAGUCUGCCUUCUUUACCCAUGACUGUCUUGGUAAAUUCUUUUACCACUGGAGACGCUGGUCCCAGCCAGUUGCACCCAUGACAUUAUGGUGGCGCGUACAGGGACUGCUAGGGGACUCCUCCCUUACUUUCCCCCCUUUCCUCUCCUCCAACUCCAGGUUCCCGGUGGACAGCGUCCAAGCACGGAGACAAGUGAAGGUCCCCAGCCAGGGCCACUUCCUGGCGAACCAGAAGGUCUCAUAAUGAAGACUUCUGACGGCUGCCUCCCCCAUUAGGUGAGAGUUUGGAGUUUUGCCUUCAUUUUCAGUUUUCUGGAGGACAAACUCUAAUAGCCCUCUGGCAAUGGAUGGCACCUGGUGUAGCCUGAAGACCAGGAGGUGAACAGGUGUGGCCUUCUUGCCAGGGAGGGAGGAAGGCUCUCUCCUAUCCUUACUGGUCAAAAGUCCCCAGUCCCUAUGUGCAGCGUUGACUGCCAGUGGAAGUUAGACCAGGGCAAAUCUACACAUGUUUUGGGGGACUCAGGCCCCCUCUUUCUCUCUCUAAGUUCCCACAUGAAGACAGCCAGCCACUUUGCUUCGGACAUCUUAAGCCAGGUGAUCCCCGAUAGCGCCGAGAGGAAUUCGGCAGUUUCAACUUCAAAUGAUGAUGUGAACGGGAUGUCAGUAUCUCCCCAAUGAUGUCUGAUAUCUUUACAAACCUCCCCUGGAUUCAGUUGGGCACCAAUUUUGCCCUGACAUGUUCCCCCUCUCUGAUGAACCCCUUCCUCCAGCAAGAUCCAAUAUUGCAUUGAUCCUAAGAGCACCCCUUCAUAAAUAUACUGCAUGUGAGUCUCCAUCUCAGAAUCUGCUUCUCGGGGAUACUGUGACACAUUGUUUAUCCUUCCUUGGUGGACACAUAUUAAGGUAAAGCCACAACUGACUGUAUACCAUUCAUUAG